AACGAACGCUGGCGGCGUGGAUAAGACAUGCAAGUCGAACGGGACAAUCGGCGUAGCAAUACGUCGGUUGUUUAGUGGCGAACGGGUGCGUAACACGUGGGCAACCUGCCGAAGAGUGGGGGAUAGCUCGCCGAAAGGCGAAUUAAUACCGCAUGUGGCCAGGGAGGACAUCCUUCCGAAGCUAAAGCCGGGGCAACCUGGCGCUCUUUGAUGGGCCCGCGGCCUAUCAGCUUGUUGGUGAGGUAACGGCUCACCAAGGCUUUGACGGGUAGCUGGUCUGAGAGGACGACCAGCCACACUGGAACUGAGAUACGGUCCAGACACCUACGGGUGGCAG
rnacentral:rRNA from 1 species